CCUUGCACCACAAGGGAGGCCCAGAAUUUGCCUUUUCUACAGGCAUUUGAGCUGAUUCUGACAUGUGGGAGAGACUAGCAAUGCUGUCUGGACAGGCAAUUACAUGAGGCAAUAAUUUUUAAAAAGGAGAAGAAUGCCGUGCAUUCUACCAACGUAGUGGACAAUUGGCAGAGUAGUGAAGAUAGGGAGGUGGCCUUAUCUAAAUCCUUCACAUCACAUGGAGUUACUAAUUUUCUCUCCAAGAUUGACUUCAGAUAUCCUGCUCUUCCGUGUGACAUCUGCUGCAGGAUCCCCUGCUCAGGCUUCCCUGCGACAUCUGCUGCAGGAUUCCCUGCACAGGAUUCCCUGCAGGCUCAGGCAGGUGAGAAGAAAAAAGACCAUGAAUUGAAGACACAGUGAAUCCAGAACUAUAUACUGAACUCCAACAUGCUAGAAAUAAAGGACUACUCUUAAUCCUCAGAAGUGAUACAUACAGAAUCAGAAGCUGUGCUGUCAGGAGGAACAGACUGGUGCUGGCACCACAGAAGUGCUCUCAAUCAGCCGUAGAAAUGAUUUGCGCCAUUUUCUCAUGUUAAGGACUACUAACUUUUAUUUCAAA